AGGAUGAUCCUUUUUAAAGUUGGUGAACCACUAGCCCAACAUCGCCAUGAGGGGAAAUAGAGGCAGACGAGUGUCCCCUAAGAUAGUGGGCUGUGUCAGCCCCAACCAUCAAAGGAGACCUUUGUGCACUGGGUUUGCUGUAAAUGACAGAAGCCACUUCAAAAGCCUCUUUGAAGCUGUUCAGUAAAAUGCUCAGAGAACACCUGGGCACACUCAAGCAAGAUAAACCACACAGACACCUCGCAGACAGACCUCCCAGGACAGAGGGACAGCAACAAGACUCCAAAAGCAACUUGAAGUUUUGGUAGCAUGAUCAUCCACAGAGUGAAGUUCAACAUUCAGUCAAGAAGAAUCAUUCUGAUUACUUAAUUGGAAGAUCUGAUACUUCUGAAAUGAAACAUUUCACAAACUCUACUGAGAUAAGAAAUACUUUUGAUUUAUUUUUUAAAAAAUGAAUCAUUGGUUAUGGAAAGAACUAUAUGGUCUUGCAGAGAGGACAAAGUUAAAGAUGUUUUGCAAGCUUAACACAACCAAAUCUGAUUUGAGAAUUAUUCUGAGGCUUGCAGCUCUAUGUAUCAAAACAUAGAUACAUAUAUACGCAGGUAUAUAUGUAUGCAAAAAUGCUUAUUUACUGUGGAAAUGACAGUUUAAGUCACUCUGUAUUUCUUUUUUCCAUGAGUCUAAUAUUGAAUUAUGAUGAUUCAAAGGCUCUCAGAGUGUUGUGCUAACAUUGUAAAUGGCUAAACAUCCAAAAAAGAGAACAAUUAAAACACAACGCACACACAAUUUUCUUAAAGUUGUGGAAAAUUAGGUAGGCACAGUUGAUUGUUUUGAGCUGGUAGGAAAACCUGGGCAGCUAGCAGAGGUCUGGACAACCACGGAAAGCCCACAGCAAGGACCACACCGUGAGCAGCCACCAGAGAUUUGGGAUGGUAGACUUACCAAGAGUGUCCACUGGCGGGGGGGCACACGGUGAGAAAGUGCAGGAUACACAAUUGACACAAAAAGGAAAAUAAUAAAGUCAAACUGGUAUUCAAGCA
rnacentral:antisense_RNA from 1 species